rnacentral:snoRNA from 15 species
CUCCUUGAUGAUCAACGUACAAAAUAGGGAAUUCCUCAAGCUUAAUACAUCAUGUGGAAUACUUUACUAGUUUCAGCCUUGUCUGAUU